rnacentral:rRNA from 1 species
GCUAACACAUCGCAGUCUGAGCGGUACAGAAAGUGAUGCUUGCUACUUUGCUGACGAGCGGCGGACGGGUGAGUAAUGCUUGGGAACAUGCCUUGAGGUGGGGGACAACAGUUGGAAACGACUGCUAAUACCGCAUAAUGUCUACGGACCAAAGGGGGCUUCGGCUCUCGCCUUUAGAUUGGCCCAAGUGGGAUUAGCUAGUUGGUGAGGUAAUGGCUCACCAAGGCAACGAUCCCUAGCUGGUUUGAGAGGAUGAUCAGCCACACUGGAACUGAGACACGGUCCAGACUCCUACGGGAGGCAGCAGUGGGGAAUAUUGCACAAUGGGCGCAAGCCUGAUGCAGCCAUGCCGCGUGUGUGAAGAAGGCCUUCGGGUUGUAAAGCACUUUCAGUCAGGAGGAAAGGGUGUGAGUUAAUACCUCACAUCUGUGACGUUACUGACAGAAGAAGCACCGGCUAACUCCGUGCCAGCAGCCGCGGUAAUACGGAGGGUGCGAGCGUUAAUCGGAAUUACUGGGCGUAAAGCGUACGCAGGCGGUUUGUUAAGCGAGAUGUGAAAGCCCCGGGCUCAAACCUGGGAACUGCAUUUCGAACUGGCAAACCUAGAGUGUGAUAACGCAGGGUGGUAGAAUUUCAGGUGUAGCGGU